GCGGGGAGGGGCCCCCGCGCGCCCGCUGCUGCCACGGCCUGGGCGCUGCUCAGACACGCCCGCCCGGCGCCCUGCUGCGGGGUCCCCGCACACCGAGCUCGGGACUCCGAGUUACCGCCGCCCCUCCACCCCGGCUCCGGGCCAGGCCCGGGGGGGUGCGCGGGGCGUCCCCUGCGGGCCAGGCGCGGGGCGCACACGCUGACUGCGGGGCCCCAGCUGACAGGGGUGGGACAUGAACCUGCGUGACUCACUUGCCGCUUUCUGUGCCGCUCUCCUUUAACGUGCUGGUAACGAGAGGUCCGGAACUGCUGGAGGAGCUUUGGGCUAAAAAUUGAAUCCAUGUCUUUCUGGUUUUGAAUGAGGUUGCCAAUGUGCCAUUGGUUCUUGUUGUGUCUUUUUCUACGAGAGUAAAGAGCCCUUUAAUACUGAUAUUUUCUCCAUGAAGAUACUUUUACAAUGUAAUCAAGUCACCUUUCAGUCUUAUUUUUGAUAAGACAGAGUUCUUUAAGUCUCUUACUGUAUGGAAUUUUCUCCAGCUGCCGAACAAUUUUUGUGGCUCUUUUCCGCACCCUCUUCAAUUUGUCAACAUCAUUUUUAAAAUGUGGAUGCCAAAACUGGACACAGUAUUCCAGUAUCUGUCUCAUCAAUGUAUAAAGUUAAAAUAACGUCCUUACUUCUACUCACUAAUCACAUUUAUAUAUCCAAGGAUCGCACUAGCCCUUUUGACACAGCUUCACACUGAGAACUCAGCAUCCCACUGAUUUGCUCUGUGAGAAAAUUAUCCCCCUGCUACUUAAGGUAAAAGGGGCUGUGAAUCUAAUUGGAAUCUCCCACUGUCAUCAUCUGGAACCCUUAAUGUUAUCCCAGGCUACGGAGCUGCUGACAGGCUGCUCUAGGAGACAGGCAGACAGCUUAGCUAAUCAAGCACAAAAGUGAUGAGAGACCCAUCCAGAAAAAAGAAAGGGGGAUAGAUAAUCAAAAAUGGGGAAAGAGUGAGGCUUUUCUACACUAGCACUUUUGUCAGCAUGGACAGCAUUAUGUCAGCGGGAGACUCACUCCUAUGAUGUAGUUACUGCCACUAGUUGGGGGUGGUUUAAUUAUUCCAGCAGGAGAGUUCUCUCCCGCCGGCUAGAGAAGCUACACAGGAGACCUUGCAGCAGUACAGCUGUGUUGCUGUAUGGCCCAUAGUGUAGACAUAGCCUGAGAGAACAGUAAAUGAAACAGAGUAAGAUGAUACGUAACAAAUGUAAAAGGCAAUUCACAAUAUAGUUUAACAGUUGCAAGCAAAACAGAUGUGAUGGGAAAAUAUUGUAACAGGAUUAACCUUAGAGGGCUUUGCUAACGAGUAGAAAGAUGUUAGGGAAAGUGUUAAUUUAAAAGUUGGUAAAUUAGAGGAGUUAUCCCUUGUUAGCAUGAACCAAAAGUAUCUGUCAGCUAGAAACUCAAUAUGUGCUGGAUAAAUAAAACAGAUUUUUUUUUUUUUUUAAAAGUCAAACAAUGACCAGGGUUCAUGUAAUACUCCAGCUGAGUUAUUAGCACCUCUGGUAGGAAAAGUUACUUUCUGGUCCCUUCAGGAUAUUGAAGAUCUGAGCUAAGGUUUAUUAAACAGAUGAAGCGAAAGGGCAUGAACAAGUCAUAUAAUAAUUUGAAUAAGUUAACAGAGAAAGUCAAGAAUAUUUGUUAUUUUAUUAGUUGUAAUUCAAAGAGAGUGCCAUCUCCUUGGCACUGAACAGCAGCAACCCAACUCUGCACAGCAGCUAUUUCACAAAAAGCCAGCCACCUGUUGGAUAGAUACUAGUCUUUCUCCCAGGCAAGGAUGAGCGUUGUCUCUCUUUUUUUCAAAGUUGACUCCAUCAAACAGAACUGUGUUUAUGUGAGGAUUAAAGCUUAUGCCAAAACAUAUUUUAUGAGUGUGUGUUCACCAUUCUCCACCAUCAAUACAGUGCCAGUAGGGAUUUCAUUCAGAAUUGUGUCAUUAUUCAAUAAUACACUUACUUAAAUUAAGAUCCCUGUGAAUGCAUCAUCUUAUUAA